GAUGAAGAACUCAGCGAAAUGCGAUAAGUAAUGUGAAUUGCAGAAUUCAGUGAAUCAUCGAAUCUUUGAACGCACAUUGCGCCCGCCAGUAUUCUGGCGGGCAUGCCUGUUCGAGCGUCAUUUCAACCAUCAAGCCCCCGGCUUGUGUUGGGGACCUGCGGCUGCCGCAGGCCCUGAAAAGCAGUGGCGGGCUCGCUGUCACACCGAGCGUAGUAGCAUACAUCUCGCUCUGGGCGUGCUGCGGGUUCCGGCCGUUAAACCACCUUCAUAACCCAAGGUUGACCUCGGAUCAGGUAGGAAGACCCGCUGAACUUAAGCAUAUCAAUAAGCGGAGGA
rnacentral:misc_RNA from 1 species